AACGAACGCUGGCGGCAUGCCUAACACAUGCAAGUCGAACGAGACCUUCGGGUCUAGUGGCGCACGGGUGCGUAACGCGUGGGAACCUGCCCUCAGGUUUGGAAUAACUCCCCGAAAGGGGUGCUAAUACCGGAUAAUGUCUUCGGACCAAAGAUUUAUCGCCAUUGGAUGGGCCCGCGUUGGAUUAGUUAGUUGGUAAGGUAAAAGCCUACCAAGGCGACGAUCCAUAGCUGGGCUGAGAGGAUGAUCAGCCACACUGGGACGGAGACACGGCCCAGACUCCUGCGGGAGGCAACAGAGGGGAAUAUUGGACAAUAGGCGUAAGACUGAUGCAGCAAGGCAGCGUAAGUGAUGAAGGCGUUAGGGUUGUAAAGCUCUUUUACCCGGGAUGAUAAUGACAGUACCGAGAGAAUAAGCUCCGGCUAACUCCGUG
rnacentral:rRNA from 1 species